UCUUGCAGAGUAUCUAUACAUUUCCACAGUAUUUGUAAAGGAUUCCACUUUCAGCCAUUCUUCAACAAGAAUUUUCUGAGCAACCUAUUAUGUGCCCAACUACUGUUCUAGGUUCUGGGAAUACAAAAGUGAAUAAAACUGACAACAUUCUUGAUUUAAUACAAUUGGUCAGUAAAUAUAUGGUACAUCACAGGGUGAAAAGUGCUACGUAUAGAAUUAAGGUGGGAUCAGGAGAAAGAGCCAGCUAUGGCAUAUCGAGACAUAACUCCAUUUUGGCCUCUGGUCACAGCUACAACCUCAGUGGUCCCGUGAUGCUGUGAUGCUCCAGGACAAGAUUACACCAGCUGAAGACAUCCUGGGAGGAACAAAAUCUUCAUCUGCAUAGUUCCUCAUUGAUCUAGGAUAUCUGCCGCCUGCCUCGCAAGUGCAAGGUCCUGAGUUCGAUCCCUGUUACCAAAAAAAAAAGUUCUUUACAUUUUCAGGGAUGGAACUCAGGAUCUUGCGCUUGCAAGGUGGGCGCUGGAACUACUGAGCUAAAUCCCCAGCCCUGUUUUGAUGUUUUAGAGUGGACAUGCUAUUGGAUCCCAUGUGU
ensembl:lncRNA